GACGAACGCUGGCGGCGUGCCUAAUACAUGCAAGUAGAACGCACAAUAUAUACCGUAGCUUGCUACACCAUAGACUGUGAGUUGCGAACGGGUGAGUAACGCGUAGGUAACCUGCCUGGUAGCGGGGGAUAACUAUUGGAAACGAUAGCUAAUACCGCAUAAUAUUAAUUAUUGCAUAAUAAUUGAUUGAAAGAUGCAACUGCAUCACUACCAGAUGGACCUGCGUUGUAUUAGCUAGUAGGUGAGGUAACGGCUCACCUAGGCGACGAUACAUAGCCGACCUGAGAGGGUGAUCGGCCACACUGGGACUGAGACACGGCCCAGACUCCUACGGGAGGCAGCAGUAGGGAAUCUUCGGCAAUGGACGAAAGUCUGACCGAGCAACGCCGCGUGAGUGAAGAAGGUUUUCGGAUCGUAAAGCUCUGUUGUAAGAGAAGAACGGGUGUGAGAGUGGAAAGUUCACACUGUGACGGUAUCUUACCAGAAAGGGACGGCUAACUACGUGCCAGCAGCCGCGGUAAUACGUAGGUCCCGAGCGUUGUCCGGAUUUAUUGGGCGUAAAGCGAGCGCAGGCGGUUAGAUAAGUCUGAAGUUAAAGGCUGUGGCUUAACCAUAGUACGCUUUGGAAACUGUUUAACUUGAGUGCAGAAGGGGAGAGUGGAAUUCCAUGUGUAGCGGUGAAAUGCGUAGAUAUAUGGAGGAACACCGGUGGCGAAAGCGGCUCUCUGGUCUGUAACUGACGCUGAGGCUCGAAAGCGUGGGGAGCGAACAGG
rnacentral:rRNA from 1 species